rnacentral:rRNA from 1 species
UACGUAGGUGGCAAGCGUUGUCCGGAAUUAUUGGGCGUAAAGAGCUCGUAGGCGGUUUGUUGCGUCGGCUGUGAAAUCCCGAGGCUCAACCUCGGGUCUGCAGUCGAUACGAGCAAACUAGAGUGUUGCAGGGGAGACUGGAAUUCCUGGUGUAGCGGUGAAAUGCGCAGAUAUCAGGAGGAACACCGGUGGCGAAGGCGGGUCUCUGGGCAACAACUGACGCUGAGGAGCGAAAGCGUGGGGAGCGAACAGG